CCCUUAGAUGUCCGGGGCUGCACGCGCGCUACACUGAAGGAAUCAGCGUGCUAAAACCAUUGUCGAAAGGCAUUGGUAAACCCAUUAAAAUCCUACGUGAUUGGGAUCGGGAAUUGCAAUUAUUUCCCUUGAACGAGGAAUUCCCAGUAAGUGUGGGUCAUAAGCUCGCGUUGAUUACGUCCCUGCCCUUUGUACACACCGCCCGUCCCUGCCCGGGACUGAGCCGUUUCGAGAAAAGCGGGGACUGCUGCUGUCGGGGCUUUCGGGCCUUGGCUUCGGUGGAAACCGCUUUAAUCGCAGUGGCUUGAACCGGGCAAAAGUCGUAACA
rnacentral:rRNA from 1 species